rnacentral:rRNA from 1 species
AUUGAACGCUGGCGGCAUGCCUUACACAUGCAAGUCGAACGGCAGCACGGGAGCAAUCCUGGUGGCGAGUGGCGAACGGGUGAGUAAUACAUCGGAACGUGCCCAGUCGUGGGGGAUAACGCAGCGAAAGCUGUGCUAAUACCGCAUACGAUCUAUGAAUGAAAGCGGGGGAUCGCAAGACCUCGCGCGAUUGGAGCGGCCGAUAUCAGAUUAGCUAGGUGGUGGGGUAAAGGCCCACCAAGGCGACGAUCUGUAGCUGGUCUGAGAGGACGACCAGCCACACUGGAACUGAGACACGGUCCAGACUCCUACGGGAGGCAGCAGUGGGGAAUUUUGGACAAUGGGCGCAAGCCUGAUCCAGCAAUGCCGCGUGCAGGAUGAAGGCCUUCGGGUUGUAAACUGCUUUUGUACGGAACGAAACGGUCCUUUCUAAUACAGAGGGCUAAUGACGGUACCGUAAGAAUAAGCACCGGCUAACUACGUGCCAGCCGCCGCAGUAA